UACGAAGGGGCUAGCGUUGCUCGGAAUCACUGGGCGUAAAGCGCACGUAGGCGGAUUCUUAAGUCGGUGGUGAAAGCCUGGAGCUCAACUCCAGAACUGCCUUCGAUACUGAGAGUCUUGAGUCCGGGAGAGGUGAGUGGAACUGCGAGUGUAGAGGUGAAAUUCGUAGAUAUUCGCAAGAACACCAGUGGCGAAGGCGGCUCACUGGCCCGGUACUGACGCUGAGGUGGCGAAA
rnacentral:rRNA from 1 species